GCUUAUAGUUAUUUGUUUCUUGGAUUUUCAUGAUAUAGCUGAGCCACCUAAUAAGAUUGUGUAACCUGUGACAGAUCUUCUGGAGUUGGGGCAAUCAGCCCAAUCUACAUCACAGUAAGCUUCUAAUUUUAAAGGUGCAUCUCUUUUAUAUAGAAUACCCUUACCUGGUGCCCCUUUGAUGUAUUUCAGUAUUUUCAUGGCAGAGUUGAAGUGUGAUUGCAUGGGAUCUGCUAGGAAUUGGUUGUGAUGACUAACAAAGAAUGCUAUAUCUGAUCUUGUGAUUGUGAGAUAUAGUAACUUUCCAAUUAAUUUUCUAUAAAUUGAUGGAUCUUUUAGUGGAGCAUCAUUUUCAGAAUUUUUGAAGUUGUGAGACAUUGGAAUUUUUAAUGGAGAGGAUUCCAAUUGACCAAAAUCGUGUAGGAUAUCCAGUGCAUAUUUUCUUUGUCAUAAGAAAAUCCCCAAGUUGGAUUGAGACACUUCAAUUCCUAAAAAAAUAUUUGAGUUUCCCCAAAUCUUUUAUGUGAAAUUGAAGGUGUAAGUGUUCUUUUAAUUUUUGUAUUUCAGCAUCAUUGUCACCAAAUAUGAUCAAAUCAUCAACAUAUAUGAGCAAGCAAGUAUAUGAGUUUUGAUUUGUUUUGUAGAAUAGUGCGUAAUCAGAAUGUGAUUGUGUGUAACCAAACUUAGUUAGGG
rnacentral:lncRNA from 1 species